AAGCAAAAAAAACAAAAAAAAACAAAAAAACCCAACCUAAUAAAUGGCUCAGGUUCCAGUAGUCAGCUGGAGAAGGGGGAGUAGAAAUGGGAGAAAUUGGUGGUGUGGAAACAAAUAAUAAUUCCUCCUCACCAGUCAUCAAUCUAAGAAAGGAAGGCCCAGAAAAGAACACUAAGGUCCAGCUCUGUGACUCUUUCUAUUCCAUUACCAUAGAAACAGAAUCUCCCUUAAGGGUCUCUGCUUUUGGUCUUUCAGAUCCCAAAUACACUAUUCUCUGUUUCGUGCCAAGGCCCAAAAUGAAGACUCCGAGAUUUUUCCUUAAAAAAUACAGCACAGUGAGCUUCCCAGGAGAUAAAGAAACUGAAGUUUGCCUAAGGUAAUCAUCUAAUUGACAAGUCAGGUUCAAGCCUAGAUGAGUCCAGCUUCAGAAUUUGGGUUUCAAUCACUGCAUGGCAUUGCUUCUCUUUCCUAACUUGGACUCAGUGAUUGUGCAAACAGUGAUGCCAACCAUCUCAGCUUGCCUGUGUAGGGAUGAAGAGAAUUUCUUUCCCUCUUG